rnacentral:rRNA from 1 species
AGAGAGAGACAUGCGCGCAUAUCAAUAAGCGGAGGAAAAGAAACUAACAAGGAUUCCCCUAGUAACGGCGAGUGAAGCGGGAAGAGCUCAAAUUUGAAAUCUUAAAGGGUUUCCCUUUACGAAUUGUAGUUUAAAGAAGUGUUUUCUGUUGAGGUUUUGGUAAAAGUUCUUUGGAAUAGGACAUCAUAGAGGGUGAGAAUCCCGUAUUUGACCUUUACUUUCAACUUUGUGAUACACUUUCAAAGAGUCGGAUUGUUUGGGAAUGCAGUCCAAAAUGGGUGGUAAAUUUCAUCUAAAGCUAAAUAUUGGCGAGAGACCGAUAGCGAACAAGUACCGUGAGGGAAAGAUGAAAAGAACUUUGAAAAGAGAGUUAAACAGUACGUGAAAUUGUCAAAAGGGAAGCGUUUGACACCAGUGUUGUUUUUCUGAAAAUCAAUUAAAGAACUGUUUAUGCUAAGCUUGUUUAGACUUUAUCAGCUAUCUGUUUAGUUUUGAGCUUUUCUUUAAUGCACUUUUCAGUUAACAAGUCAACAUCAAUUUCUUUUGCUGUAAAAAAGCUUGAGGAAGGUGGCUUGAGAUUCGUCUUAAGUGUUUAUAGCCUCUUGCCUAUGCAGUCGGAGAGAUUGAGGUCUGCAGCGUAGAUCCUUCGGGGCUAAAUGCAUUUGUGCUAAGUUAUAACAUUUUAUAGACAACUUGUUGACUAUGAUUUGUCUUGUAGCUUACUCGCUUAUGUUAAUUAUUACCUACGCUUAGGAUGUUGACGCAUGAGAUAUACGC